rnacentral:rRNA from 1 species
UACGAAGGGGGCUAGCGUUGCUCGGAAUCACUGGGCGUAAAGCGCACGUAGGCGGCUUUCUAAGUCAGGGGUGAAAGUCCUGGAGCUCAACUCCAGAACUAGCCUUUGAUACUGGAAAGCUUGAGUUCGGGAGAGGUGAGUGGAACUGCGAGUGUAGAGGUGAAAUUCGUAGAUAUUCGCAAGAACACCAGUGGCGAAGGCGGCUC